CAUUUUUGAACUUCUUUUUAUGACCAUAAUGCCUUAUCGACUGCUUCUUUCUCUUUCUCUUACAUGUACCAGACCUGGUGACAUAUUUGAGUUGCCCAGAUCCACCAUGUGGAAAUCACUACCCAGUAAUUUAACAUACAUAGGGGAAUACAAAAUCAAAAAUCCAGAUAGCAAUAACCAAGUCCCAUGGCAUUAUUGGAAACUCUUCAUUCAGCUGUGCUUAAAUCUGUCUACCACUGAAAAUAACAACUAGAAAUGCUGAAAAAUUGCCUCAGCAUGUGAGUACAUUGUUUUUUCAACAGGAUCAAACUUUCAAAUUCACUUAUUUUAAAGAGUGUUUCUUUCACAUAUACUAGAAAUAUUUCUUAUCUCUAAAUCAGAAAUGCAUAAAGAACAUGUGUUGACUUAAUUAAUUGCAUUUUGUGCCUUAAACAAGAAUAAUCUAUGAGAUUACAAAGUGAUGAUAAAAACAUUUGAAAGCCUGUUAAUUUGAACACAAUGAUGUACUAAUCUUCAUUUGUUUCCCAUGCUACUUCAC
rnacentral:lncRNA from 1 species